CGAUGGACUCCAGUCGCCCUCCUCGCUCCACGUGGUGGUGCCCUGCAUGCCAUCCAUGCCGCCCUCGCCAACGGGCUCUAGUCGCCCACCUCGCUCCACGCGGUGGAGCCCUGCACGCCAUCUGCGCCGCCCUCGCCGAUGAACUCCGGUUGCCCUCCUUGAUCCACGUGGCGGCAUGGCUCCUCACGGAAGGACUUCCAGCCAGCACAGCCCUGCCGCCCCUCAGGGACGGACUUGCAGCCGCAUGCCCCGGCCGGCGUAGGAACAAGAGAUGUCUAAAGAUUUGUCACCCAUAGCGUUCUCUACAGGUUGAACUGGUUGCUUCAAAUUAGCAUCAUAACUAUUAGCUGUUUUUCUUGUAUCCAACCGAUUUUCAUAGCAUGCUAUUUUGACAUUGAUUUUGAUUAUUUCUUUGACAUGGAUUGUCAUCUUUUGCUAAUUUAUGUGACAUGUUAAUUAAUAAAAAAUCAUGAUCAUCUAAAAGUGCCUUUAAUUAAUCUAAUGAAAAACGUCAGCUCCUUCAAUGCGAUAUACAAACUUCAUAUGAACCACCAUUGCUAUCAUGAUUCACAUUUUUGCUCCACAUUCAGGGUAGUCAGAACUCUAUAAUUGCAAAUACUUUAGAGGCAUGUUGUGUAAUUGCAACAAUUAUCAAUAAUAAGGUCUUACAUAUUUUGUAAUGUUCAGGUCCUUCGAUCGGUAUAUUGUGUGUCAAAGGUCCUGUUCAUCUCUAACAAAUUCCACUGCAGCCUCGGUCGUAUAUAUGUGUUCUUCAAACUAUUUCAUGUUCUUUUCUUGGGCCUUAGUGUUUUGAUUCUUCGGCGUUUGACAAACGGUUCACAAAUGAAGCUCACGCUAACAAUUUUAGAGAUGUAGGUUGGCCUGCAGCUCAGAGGAGAAGCAUGCCUCAGUCUGUCCCUCAGAAGUUGUUGCCGCCGUCCUCGCUGCAACCACCUGAGACGAAACUCGGUGUUGCAGUACUAGAAGGUGGAUCAGGGUGCAGUGUUGAAGCAUUUUGAUUGGCCGGAGAGGAAGGAGGACACUGCAGUAUGCAACCUUUUGCUUAGUAACCUCAUAAAGAAUUGAACAAUAAGUUUCUAACUACAAAAAUGACAUCAAAACCUUGCAUGCGACAUCAGACCUAUCAUUUGUACGGCAAAUUUUACAAAAAGAAUGUAUAUAAUUUGUGGUAGUGGAGUUACAUUUAGUGCUGAGUAUUUGAUUGAUAUUCCUUAUUCCGUAUGGAGCAAAGUCUCUGGAACCUUUAUAUCUAAAGCAGUUUAACUUUGAUACUGGGCAAUAGGUAUCCUGAGCUUUGCCACUUUUCUGGAGUGCUUUGAAAUUGGAGUUCCAGUUUCUUGAUUUUCAGGAAAUUAAAUAGGAGUGUUUAGGAAAGACGAGGAGAGGAAGGCACGGGAAGUAAAGAAGGAGGGAAAGGAGAGGGAAAAAGGAGAAGUUGCUCAAGAAGAAGUUGAAGGGUAAGCACCUUAUAGUUGCAUACUGAGUUGUGAGAAUUUGCAAUUCCCAAUUCUAGAAGUGCCUUAACAGUAGGCAUUUUGUUGCAAUGUUCUCCUAGAUUAUUGGAUGAUAGUCUCCCUCUUGAUUAUUUUGGUUUAGGUAAGGUCAUGAUCAUACACAUGAAAAAUAUGUGAUGCAUACAUGGAUUUUUGUGGGUAACCUGAAUUACUUUGCCUUUUUUACAACUUUUUGUUUGGAAUUAAUAUGCAGUACAACCAUUGCCAAAGCAUACUGAUCAACAGAUCAUCUUCUAAAUCAUUCAUCCAAUUACAAUUCUCUGUAUGACCGGUUCAGUCAGUCAAAUGAUGACUUACCAUAUAUUACAUAUAAAUGGGCUCAUCUUUCAUCUUAUUUGCACGGUUGCACCUCUCCUUCAUUUGUCCAUGUCGUUUACUAAUACCUCCACAUGAAAAUUAUUAUUAUUGGUAUGGAUUAUGUACAGAUGAAUAAUUAUCGUAAAUAUUAGACAACUAUUUUGAUAAUUAUUUUAUGGCAAGUGAGACGUGUGUUGCACGUGCAAGCUUAUCUACUACCUCUAUAAAAGCACGAAGUGCGGAGAUCCAAAUCGAUCCUAUCCAUCCAUAUAAAAGAUCAUACAGUCCAUGAUGCUCCAGUAUUUAGUGCUAAUUGCAAUUAGCGAUCGGCUCUCCAUAUGCACGACCGCGCAGUCCGCCGGUCGCACUGUUCCGUCAUUUCAUCAACAAAAAAAGAAACUAACCGUCCAGUCGCACUCCUCGCACGGUUACAGUCGCACUCCUCGCUCCCCGCCGCCCUUGCAUGGGACGGCGCGGGGCACGCCGUCCACGCCCCCCUCCUCACUCCUCGCCUCCAUCCACGCAUGCGGCGGCGCCCUGCACGCCAUCCGCGCCACCCUCGCCGACGGACUCCAGUCGCCCUUCUCGCUCCACGUGGUGGUGCCCUGCAUGCCAUCCACGCCGCCCUCGCCGACGAGCUCCAGUCGCCCACCUCGCUACAUGCGGUGGAGCCCUGCACGCCAUCCGCGCCGCCCUCGCUGACGGACUCCGGUUGCCCUCCUCGCUCCACGUGGCGGCAUGGCUCCUCACGGAAGGACUUCCAGCCAGCACAGCCCUGCCGUCCCUCAUGGACGGAUUUGCAGCCGCAUGCCCCGGCCGGCGUAGGAACAGGAGAUGUGUGAAGAUUUGUCACCCGUAGCGUUCUCUACAGGUUGAACUGGUUGCUUCAAAUUAGCAUCAUAACUAUUAGCUGAAUUUUUUUGUAUCCAAUCGAUUUUCAUAGCAUGAUGUUUGACAUUGAUUUUGAUUAUUUCUUUCACAUUGAUUAUCAUCUUUUGCUAAUUUCUCUGACAUGUUAAUUAAUAUAAUAUCAUGAUCAUCUAAAAGUGCAUUUAAUUAAUCUAAUGAAAAACUCCAGCUCCUUCAAUACGAUAUACAGACUUCAUAUGAACCACCAUUGCUAUCAUGGUUCACUUUUUUGCUCCACAUUCAGGGUACUAAGAACGGUAUAAUUGAAAAUACUUUAGAGGCAUGUUGUGUAAUUGCAACAAUUAUCAAUAAUAAGGUCUUACAUAUUUUGUAAUGUUCAGGUCCUUCGAUCGGUAUAUUGUGUAUCAAAGGUCAUGUUCAUCUCUAACAAAUUCCACUGCAGCCUCAAUCGUAUAUAUGUGUUCUUCAAACUAUUUCAUGUUCUCUUCUUGGGCCUUAGUGUUUUGAUUCUUCGACGUUUGACAAACGCUUCACAAAUGAAGCUCAUGCUAACAAUUUCAGAGGUGUAGGUUGGCCUGCAGCUCGGAGGAGAAGCAUGCUUUAGUCUGUCCCUCAGAAGUUGUUGCCGCCGUCCUCGCUGCCACCGCAUGAGACGAAACUCGGUGUCGCUGUACUAGAAGGUGGAUCAGGGUGCAGUGUUGAAUCAUUUUGAUUAGCCGGAGAUGAAUGAGGACACUGCGGUAUGCAACCUUUUGCUUAGUAACCUCAUAAAGAAUUGAAGAAUAAGUUUCUAACUACAAAAAUGACAACAAAACCUUGCAUGUGACAUCAGACCUAUCAUUUGUACGGCAAAUUCUACAAAAAGUAUAUAUAUAAUUUGUGGUAGUGGAUUUACAUUUAGUGUUGAGUAUUUGAUUGAUAUUCCUUAUUCCGUAGGGAGCAAAGUCUCUAGAACCUUCAUAUCUAAAUCAGUUUAACUUUGAUACUGGGCAAUAGGUAUCCUGAGCUUUGCUACUUUUCUGAAGUGCUUUGAAAUUGGAGUUCCAGUUUCUUGAUUUUUAGGAAAUUGAAUAGGAGUGUUUAGGAAAGACGAGGAGAGGAAGGCACGGGAAGCAAAGAAGUGGGAAAAUGGGAGGGAAAAGGAGAAGUUGCUCAAGAAGAAGUUGGAGGGUAAGCACAUUAUAGUUGCAUACUGAGUUGUGAGAAUUUGCAAUUCCCAAUUCUAGAAGUGCAUUACUAGUAGGCAUUUUGUUGCAAUCUUCUCGUGGAUUAUUGGAUGAUAGUCUCCCUAUUGAUUGUUUUGGUUUAGGUAAGGUCAUGAUCAUACACAUGAAAAAUAUGUGAUGGAUACAUGGAGUUUUGUGGGUAACCUGAA